CGGCCGUAUGCAACUUUUUUGCGUAUGUGCUUUUUUUCCUUGCGGGAAACUUUCUGCAUCUCAAUUUGCGUCCGUUUGUUUUAUCUGUGUGUGCAUUUUUUUUUUCCAUUCUCCAUCUCUCGUUGUUCAAUCAAUCGAUUACUACUCUUUUCGUUUUAGUUCAAACCCGUGCCAACCUUUAUGGAACGAAGGGAGUACUCAAUUGCACGUUGCAAGUAUCAUGUGAUCAAAUAACUUGGAAUUUUAUGUGCGGCCAUUCACUCACUGGUCUUAUGGAGCAACCGGUUUGUUAUUGUUCUGACUGGAGGACAGAGGAGGAAGAUGUCAGGUAGAGCGAUGCAGGAGAAGAAGAAGGCAAUAGUUUAACCUACUAGGGAGCAUAUCGACGACAACAAUACUAUCGAGGUGGGAGGGUUGAGGCAAGGACUGGCGGGAAGAUCGACAAGUGGGUGUCGGUAGAAGGAGCAAGGAGGAAAUCUGUUUGUUCCCUAAGGUAAUAGGA
rnacentral:lncRNA from 1 species